rnacentral:rRNA from 1 species
CCUACGGGGGGCAGCAGUGAGGAAUAUUGGUCAAUGGACGAGAGUCUGAACCAGCCAAGUAGCGUGAAGGAUGACUGCCCUAUGGGUUGUAAACUUCUUUUAUAUGGGAAUAAAAUGUUCCACGUGUGGGAUUUUGUAUGUACCAUAUGAAUAAGGAUCGGCUAACUCCGGGCCAGCAGCCGCGGUAAUACGGAGGAUCCGAGCGUUAUCCGGAUUUAUUGGGUUUAAAGGGAGCGUAGGUGGAUUGUUAAGUCAGUUGUGAAAGUUUGCGGCUCAACCGUAAAAUUGCAGUUGAAACUGGCAGUCUUGAGUACAGUAGAGGUGGGCGGAAUUCGUGGUGUAGCGGUGAAAUGCUUAGAUAUCACGAAGAACUCCGAUUGCGAAGGCAGUUCACUGGACUGCAACUGACACUGAGGCUCGAAAGUGUGGGUAUCAAACAGGAUUAGAUACCCGUGUAGUC